rnacentral:rRNA from 1 species
AUGGGCAGCUUGCUCCCUGAUGUUAGCGGCGGACGGGUGAGUAACACGUGGGUAACCUGCCUGUAAGACUGGGAUAACUCCGGGAAACCGGGGCUAAUACCGGAUGGUUGUUUGAACCGCAUGGUUCAAACAUAAAAGGUGGCUUCGGCUACCACUUACAGAUGGACCCGCGGCGCAUUAGCUAGUUGGUGAGGUAACGGCUCACCAAGGCAACGAUGCGUAGCCGACCUGAGAGGGUGAUCGGCCACACUGGGACUGAGACACGGCCCAGACUCCUACGGGAGGCAGCAGUAGGGAAUCUUCCGCAAUGGACGAAAGUCUGACGGAGCAACGCCGCGUGAGUGAUGAAGGUUUUCGGAUCGUAAAGCUCUGUUGUUAGGGAAGAACAAGUACCGUUCGAAUAGGGCGGUACCUUGACGGUACCUAACCAGAAAGCCACGGCUAACUACGUGCCAGCAGCCGCGGUAAUACGUAGGUGGCAAGCGUUGUCCGGAAUUAUUGGGCGUAAAGGGCUCGCAGGCGGUUUCUUAAGUCUGAUGUGAAAGCCCCCGGCUCAACCGGGGAGGGUCAUUGGAAACUGGGGAACUUGAGUGCAGAAGAGGAGAGUGGAAUUCCACGUGUAGCGGUGAAAUGCGUAGAGAUGUGGAGGAACACCAGUGGCGAAUC